UACGGUGGGGGCAAGCGUUGUUCGGAAUUACUGGGCGUAAAGGGCUCGUAGGCGGCCAACUAAGUCAGACGUGAAAUCCCUCGGCUUAACCGGGGAACUGCGUCUGAUACUGGAUGGCUUGAGGUUGGGAGAGGGAUGCGGAAUUCCAGGUGUAGCGGUGAAAUGCGUAGAUAUCUGGAGGAACACCGGUGGCGAAGGCGGCAUCCUGGACCAAUUCUGACGCUGAGGAGCGAAAGCCAGGGGAGCAAACGGG
rnacentral:rRNA from 1 species